GCAAAGAAUGGAAAUUUCCAAAUGCAGCAUCAAGGGCUGCUGUUCUGCUGACUGUCUUGCUCAGCCGGGGUCAUCUGCUUCUCUAAGACAUCAAGGAAUGCCAAGGUAGACCUGGAAAGGAAUCUGUAAAGUGCUGUACAUCACAGCUCAGUCAAGGUAGGACUCAUUUCCAACUCUUAAGAGAUCUAGUUGUCAAAGUGUUAUAUUGAUGA
rnacentral:lncRNA from 1 species